rnacentral:misc_RNA from 1 species
CGUCCAUGCACCAUAUCCCCACAUUCCUUUCCAGCUUCAGUUCGCUUUCAUUUAAACCACUUGUCCGCUCUACAAAAUGAAGAACAUUGUAGGAAGGACAAGAUCUCAAGAUAAUCGGCAAUAACAACAAAUAUAAUAAUACACAACAACCAUCUCACUGUUGUUGAUAAUCGAUUUUGCAACUCGUUUUUGGUUUUUAGUAAAAAGGGUUUGAGAAAAAAUGGGUUUUUUCUUCUCUUUGCUUGGUUUUUAUGGGGUUCGGG